CCCACCCUUCAGAGUAAGAAGCCCAGUCUCUGAACAUGAAAUCCCACCAAUCUCCACCCUGGAGAGCUCUACCCUCUCCCCAAGAAACUCUAUAUGAGCCCUGUAUCCUGUUCAGAUUGCUGCUGUUUCUCAAUUGCAAGCUUUGGCUGUCAGCCUUCUGGGUUUUCCUGUUCCAAAAAUUGUCUUGUGUGAGGUUUGUUGUGUGAUAUUACCUUGUGGUAUUCCUUGGCUCCUAACUGCCAGGAAACCUUUCCAUCCAAGCUUUAAUGCUUACAGUGGGGGCAGGCUUUGAUGUUUCCCAUGCCCAGGAUACUGCCCAGUGUCCCAGUUGACUCCCUGUAACCUGCAAGAAGAAGAACCUUCAGCUGCUUCUCCAGCACCACGUCUGCCUACACGCUGCCAUGCUCCUUGCCAUGAUGAUAAUGGACUGAACCCCUGAAACUGUAUGACCCUGUGGGGCAGCUCCACAGGGCGGCCAGUGUGGGCGAUGUGACUUCAGUUGAGAGACUCAUCAACUUCAAUCAAUAAAUACCAUGUAAACGGAUAUGACAGGAGUGGCAGACUUGCAAGAAAGAAAGCUUUGGGGAUCCUCCUGCAUCCACAUCUCCAAGUUUCUCAAGGUGCUGGAGAUUCUGAAGUUGGUGUCUCAGGCUUGCAGGGACAUCACUGCAUUACGCCCGUGCCCUGCUGUGGUGAUAUUAUUAUCCAACUGAACAGAUUUUAAUAUCCAGGAUGAUGGUGGUUGCACAUUCUUGAUUAAGGAAGUUAUCAGACAACAGUUUUGGACCACCUGCCCAGUCAUGCCAACACCCCUAGGAAGCUGUGCCCUCCCAUAUCAACCUCAGUCAAGAAAAUGCUCUACAGACUUCCCAGAGUCCAGUCUGGUGGAGGCAAUUCUUCAGGUCACCCAGCAGGACAACGUGGAGUGUGUUUCUAUAUUACUGAUGCAGAGUGCUGAUCCCCACAUCAUAGAUUUCAGAGGGAAUGCAGCCCCACACCAUGCCAUUUCCAGAGGUAACACAACAGUUGCCAGCAACCUGCUCGGAUACAACAUAAAUAUUGAAGCCAAAACAGAGAUGAGAAUCUAAAGCUCAGCCAUGUCAGUUUAGCUGCUGAAGGCCUCCCAGCUAGCGGGGAUACAAGUUCACACUGGGAUCACUCAGGGAGUCCCUGAUUUCUGGGUGAGAACCUUCUGGGCAAGGAUGGGUCCCCCAACCUUUGGUGUUCAUGUUUCUUGCAUGGCCUUUGACUUCAUUUUCUCUUCUUCUUCUCUCUCUGUGCCCAGAGGCGAUCCUGAGACUCCAUUCGUGUGUACUUUGCUGCCUUCUCAUUGGGUCCAGCCAGUGGUAGAGUAGAUGUGCACAUAUUUAUUCUCCUCUUGUCCUCCCUUGGCAGGAUCUUGUGCUAGCCAUGGCCCCCUCUCUGAUGGCUAGUUCUACUUGUCUACCUUACAAUGAAGAAUCGCCUAGUAAGAGAGACUUGAAGUUUUUUUUUUUUUGAAGAGGGGAUGCAGUGAACUUUAUUGACGGUAUUCA